rnacentral:rRNA from 1 species
AUUGAACGCUGGCGGCAGGCCUAACACAUGCAAGUCGAACGAGUGGCGGACGGGGGAGUAAUGUCUGGGAAACUGCCCGAUGGAGGGGGAUAACUACUGGAAACGGUAGCUAAUACCGCAUACCAUCGGAUGUGCCCAGAUGGGAUUAGCUAGUGGGGGGGGUAACGGCUCACCAAGUCGACGAUCCCUAGCUGGUCUGAGAGGAUGACCCGCCACACUGGAACUGAGACACGGUCCAGACUCCUACGGGAGGCAGCAGGGGGGAAUAUUGCGCAAUGGGCGCAAGCCUGAUGCAGCCAUGCCGCGUGUAUGAAGAAGGCCUUCGGGUUGUAAAGUACUUUCAGCGAGGAGGCGUUACUCGCAGAAGAAGCACCGGCUAACUCCGUGCCAGCAGCCGCGGUAAUUC